GCGGGGCCUAGAGGAACACACAACAUCGUAAACAAGGAUGAGAUACAGUGCUCUGAAGAAUUUAUAAUCUAUUUGAGAAGCAGGCUGCUCUGCCUUGAAUCACCUCCACCUAUCACUGCUGAUCUGUGCAGAGUAUUUACAACCGAUCCUGGCUGUAGAUAAAGCAGGUUUUCUUAGUGACCAUCGAUCUUCAAAAUUCAAAUUACCUCUACCCACUGUCACAUGACCUAAUCAAGAUGGAAGAAGGAGGGGGCGGCUCCUGGCAGCAGCCGUGCCAACUGGAGGAUGGCAUGCAAGAUCAACAAAUGGGGAUGGCAGAUUGUGCCGUUCACAGCACCCAACUUCCAGAAACUGCUGUGCUCGCUGCUUCUGUCCUCUUCCUCAGGGUUGGCUAAGGAAUCUUUUCUUUUCACCUUUUCAAAUGUUCUCCUCGAAUCUAGGGAGCAGGGAAUAGGCCAAAAUAGACUCAGUCUCACGACAGGUUGGCAGAGCUAGUGUUCCCUUGCUCCCAUACCAGGGCUUGCCUUGGCUAACCUGCAAUCCUGAAGCAGCAGGCUGAGCAAGAGGGCUCUGCACAGCCUGUACCCCGCCAGGAGCACGAGUGGCCUCAGCUCCACUCCAGAAGUUUCUCCCACUGAACUGAGUCUGCCCUGAGCAGUACUAUGGAGAGAUUAUGUGUUGCUCAGCAGCCCAAUCCACCUCAAAUCUAUAAAGUAUCACUUAAUUAAAUAGCCUGCAAAGAUUUGUAGAAAUUAAACUAAGGCCCCAAUCAUUGAUUUGUAA